GCGCAGAGAGGGAGAAGGCGCAGCGCCCUUCAGCGAAGCCAGAGAAGGAACAGAAGGAGACCCUUCUGCUCCUCCUCCUGCUUCGCUGGAAAGGCGCAUCGCUGCGAAGCGGGAGAAGGAACAGAAGGAGACCCUUCUGCUCCUCCUCCUGCUUCGCAUGACAGGUGCGUUGCUGAAGGGGCGCUGUGCCUUCUCUCUCUCCGCGC